GACGAACGCUGGCGGUGUGCUUAACACAUGCAAGUCGAACGGUAAGGCCCUUUCGGGGGUACACGAGUGGCGAACGGGUGAGUAACACGUGAGUAACCUGCCCUCAUCUCUGGGAUAACAGUCGGAAACGGUUGCUAAUACUGGAUAUGAGCUUGCAAGGCAUCUUGUGGGUUGGAAAGAUUUUUUUGGUUGGGGAUGGACUCGCGGCCUAUCAGCUUGUUGGUGAGGUAGUGGCUCACCAAGGCUUCGACGGGUAGCCGGCCUGAGAGGGCGACCGACCACAUUGGGACUGAGAGACGGCCCAAACUCCUACGGGAGGCAGCAGGGGGGAAGAUUGCACAAGGGACGGAAGGCUGAUGCAGCAACGCCGCGUGCGGGAUGACGGCCUUCGGGUUGUAAACCGCUUUCAAUUGUGACGAAGCUUUUUGUGACGGUAGCAGUAGAAGAAGCACCGGCUAACUACGUG
rnacentral:rRNA from 1 species